rnacentral:rRNA from 1 species
GACGUAGGGGGCCAGCGUUGUUCGGAAUUACUGGGUGUAAAGGGUUCGUAGGCGGUGCGGCAAGUUGGGAGUGAAAUCUCUGGGCUUAACCCAGAGGCUGCUUCCAAAACUGCUGUGCUUGAGUGUGGGAGAGGCGCGUGGAAUUCCCGGUGUAGCGGUGAAAUGCGCAGAUAUCGGGAGGAACACCUAUGGCGAAGGCAGCUCGCUGGGACGUUACUGACGCUGAGACGCGAAAGCGUGGGGAGCAAACAGG